CCCACACCCAUGUGUGUAGGACCCCAAAGGAUCACCAUUAAAUUUGGCACAAAUCUCUAGAAAAGUUAUCACAUGGGUGUGGGACUUGACUUUUUUAGAGAUCUGUGCCAAAUUUAAUGGUGAUCCUUUAGGGUCCUACACACAUGGGUGUGGG
rfam:Amborella trichopoda AMTR_V1.0_contig_38486, whole genome shotgun sequence.